UUUUUACUUCCCUAAAUGUAAGUGCUUAUAUUACUUUCAAUUUUGACUUACACGUAUCAAAACUUUACUCGUAGCCCAAAAAAUAUUGCUAGUGAAAUCUUUAUUUUAUUUCUCCAAUGUUGGCAGGUUCGCAAAUAGAAUCUCCCAAACUGGCUGUAAAAUUUAUAGACUUACCAUCAAGCUUAAAAUUUUUAUUACAUGUCUUACUCACUGUUCAUAUCUUUUUUCUUUUUUUUGUUGUCCAUUUUGUAAAAUUCUAUUUUAGACAGGAAGAAUUUAUAUUCGAAAUCUCUGCUAUACUAUACUGUAACAAAAGCUGAUAUCGAACCUUUUUGUAAAAUAUGGUCCAAUUGCUGAGCUUCAUAUGCCAAUUGAUUUCAAUACAAGAAAGUCUAAAGGUUUUGCUUUUGUGACAUUUAUGUUUACCGAACAUGCAGUGAAGACCUUCUCAGAGUUGGAUGGUACAAUAUUUCAUGGUUGACUCCUUCACUUAAUACCCACCAGAGCGAAAAAAGAAUUUGAAUCCAAUGAAAGUGGAUAGAAGCAGGGGAUGGUUUGAAAUAUUGAAGGGUCUGCAACACAGAAUUGCUAUGGCAUUUACAUCACGAAUCUUCUUUUUGGAAUGCUCUUAUACCUUUUAUAAGAAGAUGACCAGCUUCACUUCAAACACUCAAAAGAGGUACAAAAUUGAGCAGUGAAGAAGUAGAUUUAUGUCAUCCCUCACCGUUUUCCCCAUUUUGGAGAUGAUUUCCUUUCUUGUGGAUUAUCAGUGCAGCAUUUAUUGGAUAGUAUCAUCCAAUUUUUGAGUGGAGUGUUUUCACAUUGUAAUUUUGUCUUCAAGCAAGGAAAGUUCCAGACAAUUUUAUUUCCCAUCUAAAGAAAUCUAUUUUUCACAUCCAAACUAAUUAUCCAAAUAAUCCAAGUAAAUUUCUAUGUUUAAAUUCCCAUUUAACUUUUAUUUUAUGUAUAAAUAGAAAGCGAAAUUUUAUUAGAAUUACUAUCUGAUUAGUUGAAGCUAUUUUAAGAUGAAUUUUUUUUUUCUUUAAAUAAAUUUUAGCUUAAACUAGAAAUUUGUGCAUGUUAAUAUAAGUAUCAAUUUAAGUUCUUAUCAUUUCUUUAAAUCAUCUCAAUAUUUUUUUGUAUGAUGUUAGAAAAGAUAUAAAUUCACCAAUUAUUACUAUCAUUCUCAUUGUUUAACAAAUCUUUUAACAUUGCUUGCCUUUAUUUGUUAAAAUUAACUGAAAUUUAUUUAUUUUAGUGUUUGAAAAGUUAUUGCUUAAAUUAAAAUUUAGUUAAAUAUGAUAGUUUGUUACGUUUUUACUUCAAAAAAUCUCAUUUGUGUUUAUGGAGAACAGUUGCUCUAUGUAGUUAUUAAAUUGUUCUUUUUAUUAUACAGUUAUUAAUUGAUGAAUAACAUCCCUGUGUUUUAUUCAAAUUCUUCUUUUUAUAUUUUAUAAGCAGUAUAGACAGGUAAAUUGCAAUUUAUUUUGGAAUAUCUUUUUAUGUGUUUUACUCUAAUCAUGUCUUUUCAUAGAAUCUCAUUUUAUUUUUUAAGAAAGAUUGUAUUUUAGUAGAUUGAAAUGCGAUUUUAGUAACUAUUUUGAUUUUGUUUAUUCUCUGAAUUCAACUUGUUUGUAUAUCUUUGUAUUUACAUAUUUUUGUUAACCGUUUUUCGAAUGUGUUAUGUUUGCCGUUAGUAUUUAUUUUUAAUCUUAUUCAAAUUUGUUAUAGUAGACUAGUCAAUUACUAGUCAUGAAAAAGUUAUUGAAGUUGUAUGCGUUAUAAUUAGGGUUGCAAGUUUGUCAGGGAGUGAAUUUUCAUGCUUAUUUCCAUGAUUUAUUACUCUUUAAUCCAGAAAUUUUUUGAAGUGCUGUGAUUUGUGCAAAAAUUGUUUAAACAGAGAAGUUUUUUCACCUUAUUCUAAUUCAACUACACUAAUUCUGACAAAAAUUACUACUACUCUGCAGCUUUAAAAUUGAUAAUUUUUUAUUGAUGAAAUGUUUAAGAA